rnacentral:misc_RNA from 1 species
GUCAUUGUCAACCAUAAUAGACGAAAAGUGUAAACACCUUUCCAUAGGGAAAGUAGAUUUUUAGCUAUUGUGUACCUUUUUCGACGAAUUUCCCGAUUUUGGUGGGUCAUAUAAAGCACUAAAUAUGCCGGUGAUCUUACUGGAAAGGAUACCGCUUCCGAGCCUUCAGACAUACACGUCUGUCUCCGUCCUAGUUUUAUCUGUUGCGUUGUACUAUGCCUAUCACACAGUCACCACAGUGGACAUAAACUCUAUACAUGAACUGGAUUUCGGAGAUGGUGUCACAGUAGAACCGGUAGCAGACGACGAAGUCUUGAACGAGCAUCAUGAUAUGGUCAAUAUCAGCCUCCCCUAUGACAGUGUGGGGUGGAACAUGUUUCAUAUUCUGACCAGUGAGGUCUGGUGUGUAUGGAUCCUAGUCAACUCGGCAUAUUGCUGUUUGAUACUUCUUGGAAAAGCUAUCCAAAAACUUGUGUUUGGGGAACUUAGAGUUUCAGAGGAACAGCAUUUGAGGGACAAGUUUUGGAACUUCCUGUUCUACAAAUUUAUAUUCAUUUUCGGAGUGAUGAAUGUUCAGACACUGGAGGAGGUUGUAUCUUGGGUCGCCUGGUUCACCAUUCUAGGCUUCUUCACCCUUCUGACUCAGCUGUCCAAGGACAGGUUUGAAUAUCUAUCCUUCUCCCCGAUCGCAGCCCGAGGAGUCCAUGUCAAACUUCUGUGCCUCUUGUUUGUAAUCCUGCUGUGUAGCUUUGCCUUACUCUUCCUCAGUGGAUAUGUGGGCCUCCAGGCAGGCCCCACUAUUUUUGCCUUCUUAGCUGCAGAGUGCCUUCUGUUGGGAAUCAGGGCUCUGUAUGUUGUUGUAAGAUAUGUAAUCCAUUUGUGGGAUAUGACAGUGUCCAGUGUUUGGGAGAACAAGUCUAUGUACAUCUACUACACAGAGCUGACCUUUGAACUGUCUGCUUUAGCUGUAGACUUUGCUCAUCACCUCCACAUGUUGCUGUGGGGAAAUAUUUUUCUGAGUAUGGCUAGCCUAGUAAUUUGUAUGCAGCUGAGGUACUUGUUCUAUGAAUUUAAGAGAAGAAUCAACCGCCAUAAGAACUACAGAAGAGUGGUCCAGAAUAUGGAAGCAAGAUUUCCUAUGGCAACUAAGGAAGAACUACAGAUUCACAAUGACAACUGUGCUGUGUGCUGGGAAAGGAUGGACUCUGCAAGAAAACUACCCUGUGGCCAUUUCUUUCAUAAUUCUUGUUUGACGUCGUGGCUGGAGCAGGACACUUCCUGUCCGACGUGCCGGACCUCCCUGAGUGAGGGACAGCAGGUGGACCCUAAUAGCAAUGUCCCUGACGAGCGGGGAGCUGCACCCCCUCAACCACCCCAGCAGCAGCCCCAGAACAUGUUCACUAAUCACUUUUUCCAUUUUGAUGGAUCUCGAUACGUUAGCUGGUUCCCGAGUUUCUCGGUGGAGGUGACACACACCCAACUUUUACCUGGAGGCAGACAGAGGCCCAUACAAACCUCGCAGUUAGAUAGCAUGGCUCGCCAAGUCCAGUCUGUUUUCCCUCACAUUCCCACAAAUGUCAUCCUCGAGGACCUGAGGAAUACCAGAUCUGUGGACUUCACUAUAGAAAACAUACUGGAGGGCAGAGUUCAAGUGCCACCUGUAAGUAUCACUGAGGUCAAGGAUACACAAACAACUUUUCCUUCACUGGCUAAGUUACAACAUUGUUAGUUCAUUUACAAACUUCCAUGAUGUUAUGUAAUUGCAUGAACACAGUAAUAUCUGCAAACUUAAUCUAGUUCUUUUAAAAAAAAAAUGAGAAAAAAGCAGAUUCCAAUUCACAAAAUUAAGUUUGCUCCACAUUACAGCCUGGGUUAACCACAAUGGCUGUCUUGACGGACUCGGAGGAAGGAAGUGAUGACAGCGACUCUCCGUCCACUCCCUCCCAGCCCUCCCCCAGGGCUCUACAGCUGGCCCGAUCAGGGGAGGGGGAGGAGAGAGUCGGAACCAGUGAGGAGGCUGGAGGGGUCAGCAGCAUAAUGGACUACAAUGUCCCAUUCCUAAUGGAAACAGUUCCACAACCAAGUGAUGAAGCUCACUUCACAACGGGUAGCCGAUUCUCAAAGUCAACAACCGAGAGAGAAUCCAUGUUACAGAGUAGGAAAGAACAAAUGUUACAGAAUGCAAGAAAGAAAUACUUAAACCGACAAACAAAUUCAUCAAAGGAGGCAGCAUCUCAAAUUGAUGACACCAGAGUGACAUCAGAAACAAAUGCAGCAGACCAGGUGCAGCUUCGUCACAGAAACGAGAGCACAUUUCAAGAGACUCAGCGGUGAUACCUCAACAGUUCCAGAAGCCCUAAAUAACCACUAAUUAACCAACUUGUUGGUGUUGUGAUGUGUUUAUUAUUUGACAAUGCAAUGAUUUGUUGAUUUUGUUGACUUUUUGGAUAUUUUUUUUGUACAUUUCACUCUUAUUUUCAGAUGGCUACCUGCAUGUAUUUAAGGAUGGCAAAAUAUGCUUCUUGUUUGAUGUCUUUUUUUUUUGUAUAUGUUUGUUUUCAAGAGAGGGACAUUCACGUUUACUUUUAGGUUCACAGAAAGCAUAUUUCAUCAAGAACCAAGAACUUGAUAUGUAAAACUUAAAUGUUUUACAGUCUUUGAUACCAUUUGCAAAGAUUUUCCCAAAUUCCACUUUGACAAUUUUUGCUGUAUUAUAUUGCUUUAGAUUUGUCAAAUAUCAGGAAACCGGCAUGAAAUAUUAAUUAAAAUAUCUCAGUCUU